AUGGAUGUGUCUCAAAAGUAUCAUGAAAACAGGAAAAUGACACAUCAGGCAACCAGGCGGAAGUCUCUGCAGGCCUUUGUGACGAGGGGCCUGCCAGGUAACCCUGGGGCGCGUGUGCGAGUUCCAGGACACUGGAGUCCAAAGCGGGCUGGGCACGCCUCCUGCCAGGUGUUUCCGCGCCCUCUGGCCCUGCAGGUGCGCCUCGUCGGGUCCCGGAGGAGGACGGGUCACGUGGAGCGGCUUCCAGUCCCCACUGCUCAGGUCAGAGCCAUCUUGCUUGGUACUCCUGGAAUAAUUCAGUCAGCAGAUAAGAGAGUGUGGAGUGUAACAGAGGGUUUUAUGGCCAUGCCUAACAUGAUGUACAUAAAUUGAGUGCACAUUCUUUUUUCCAAAACCCACUCUCAGCCUCAAGCUAACAUCAAAGUGUUCCCAUAUGGCCAGGGAGAGGGGAGAGGAUUGUUGAGCAUCUAGUCAGCUUUAAUGGAAAAAUGCAGCUGAAAGCACAGAUUAUCCUAAUGUUGGCAAGUGAAGAUCACCCAGUUCUAAAGCAUGCAACAGAGACCUGUAGAAAACUCAGCCAGAGUCUUAAAAUUUUACUUUGUUCAUAAAUUAACUAAAAUGAAUUAAGAAUUUACAAUUUUCCAGGCAUUCUUCCAAUUACUUUAGAAUUAUUAAAUCAAUGAGCAUUAAAAGAAUCCUAUGAGAUGGUUGCUAUUAUUAUAUUCAUUGUAUAGACCAGUAACCAAGGACACAAGAUACUUGCUGCGGACUGGCUUUGUGGCUAAGCUGCUGCCUGCAAUGCCAGCACCUCAUAUUGGAGUGACAGCUCAAGUCCCAGCUGCUCUGCUUCCAAUCCAGCUUCCUGCGAAUGUGCCUGCAAAGGCAGCAGAAGAUGGUGCAAGUGCUUGGAACCCUGCCACCCAUGGGGGGGACACUGAUGCAGCUCUGGGAUCCUAGCUUUGGCCGGAAUCAGCCCCUGCUCUUGAGUUCAUUUGGGGAGUGAGCCUGCAGUUGGAAGAUCUCGAUCUCGAUCUCUCUCU